CUUUUAUUUUGGUAGGGAACGUUUCUUUUUCCUGUAUGUAAAAAAAUGCUAACGUUGAUAGCAAUCCACCACGACAAUGAGUUCACGUAUUUUCUCAGUUGUCAAAGUUUUCUGCGGUGAAGCGUCAAACCUGGGUGGUGGCAGGCUAACGUGGAAGACUACCUUGGAAGUUGUUGCCAUGAAUUGGACUGGUGAGCAUGGCGCUUUCAUUGUGGACACGUUUAUCAAAACAAACUAAUCUCUAACUGCAACACCAGGAGCGUUCCGUUUGCACGUCAAUCUUGGUAGACAUGAUCCCGUACCAGCUCGAAACGCCAUCUUGUUAUACGUUACCAACUUCAGAGCUACUGGAUCUGCAUUGAAACUAAAAUCAACCUGUCAACCUCGCACCGCCAGAACUGAUUUAAUUUUUAAAACAUAAUGGAACAGAAUGGCAUUAUGUGUACUUUUCGAAAAUAAUUUUUUUUGUUUCUUUACUUUAUUUGCCCUUUUUUUAACCUUCAAAUGUGUCAGAUCAUUUUGCCUGACCUUGUAUUAAGGCACCUGUUUGAAACUCCACGUGUGACUAAUUAAUUCCAAAUGGGCUACAGGAACUACAUGUUCAAUGUUCACUUUUGAAGGGAUUCUUUUUUCAAUCCAAGAACUUUACUGGCUUUGACGGUUAUGUUAGCCAGCAUUUACAGUCAAGGUCAGCUGUUAACGUUAAAAUCUAUUGUCAAUUUCUGUGCCAUUUCAUUUUUUUAACGGCUUUUUUUUAUUUAAUAUGGAACAUCUGCAUGCGUUUGAUUGCCCACAGAUGAGUGGAAUGUCAGACAUUUAUAUGAGGUGUGACUUAAAAGGCGUUGUGGACUGUAAUGCAUGUCCAAGCAUCACGUGCUGUACUUUACAAGCCUUCCAAGAGUCGACGAAAGAUGACAUCAUCAUACAAAGUUUGUAGGAAAAAUACCGAUAUACCGAUACCAAUGUGUGCAACAUGACAUAUUCUUGUGGUGGAACAACACACGUGUUGUAUACAGCAUUUUUUAAAUGUUGGUUUUCAAAAAAUAUAUACAGUAUAUACACAGUAUUUGAAAAAAUAAAAAGGGCAUAUUUCACACAUAGUUACACUUAAUUAUUCAUUCAUUUUCUACCGCCCAUCCUCGCAAGGGUCGCAGGGGUGCUGGAGCCUAUCCCAGCUGUUUUCGGGCGAGAGGGGGGGUACACCCUGGACUGGUCGCCAGCCAAUCACAGGGCACAUAUAGACAAACAACCAUUCACACUCACAUUCAUACCUAUGGACAAUUUGGAGUCGCCAAUUAACCUAGCAUGUUUUUGGAAUGUGGGAGGAAACCGGAGUACCUGGAGAAAACCCACGCAUGCACGCGAAAAACAUGAAAACUCCACACAGAGAUGGCCGAGGGUGGAAUUGAACUCGAGUCUCCUGGCUGUGAGGCCUGCGCGCUAACCACUCAUAAUGAUUAAUUAAUAUAAAACUGAUUGUUUUGAUAAAAUGUAAUCAUUUGACAGCCCUAAUAUUAACUCACAGCAUGAGUGCAUUUGAGAUCAGCAUUUGAGAUCAGUUUGCAUCAUUGCUUUGUACAUGUAUACAGUAUUAUUGCUAUCAUAUUACAAUCACAUAUUUAUAAAUCAUUUCCUACAGGGUGACUGAAGAUGUGUGUUCUGCUGCAAAAAAACAGCAUAUUUUGGGUGGGGGGGCAAAAAAUCCAUGAUCUUGCAGAACACUAAUGUAGAUUUGUGACUGCGGGGGAUCCACUGUAAUCAAUUACAGUGGAGUUUGUUUUGGCUAGGUCUGCAAAUUCUUGCAAUCAUUUUGCUUCCCACAAUGAAUGAAGCAAAUGUUGCCACAACAAAAACUGUUUCACACACAGUCAGGGUUGAAAACAGGAAGUGCAAUUCAUGGAAUUUUAACACUCACUGUCUUGUAGGUCUGAACCUAAUAAAGACCUUCUGGUUUGCUGUUUGUCCAGACUUUGGUGUCCCACUCAUGAGAACCUUAGUAGUGCUGUUGGACUUAUAUAUGAUCUAUGAUGCGACUUGACCCAGCAAGUUGUGGUAUUUUGUACUUGAAAUCACUAUAAUUAGGUGGUUUAAUGGCAGAAAACACAUCUUAUUUGCCCUACAUUGGUUGGCUACCCAUAAACCAAUAGGAACGAAUCGAGACGAUUGCUUACCUCACUCCCAGUGCAACCAUAAAACACAUGUGGAACACAGACUAUGCAGGUAUAUUACACAGUAAUAUACCUACAAAAGAAUAAUAUUUUAUAAUCGAUAAUCCAAAUGGCAUGCUGGGAAGCCUACGAGCGCACUUACCCAACAGGAAGUUACCCAGCAUGCCUUGUGGGUUGUAAAUUAGUAUAAAAUGCUUAUGUUUUGCAUGUCAACUGUGGUUGCAUACACGCUGCCGUUGAGUAUUAAUAUUGUACAGAACAAAGAACUAGCAUGUGGUGGCGUAAUACGUAGGCACUGAGAAGAAGCUUUAAUAGCCGUGUGACUCCCCAGGCAGUGAGGCGGACUCGUCUGGUGGCAGCGUGUAAAUAUGAAAUUGAAAAUCAAAUUAGACAUGAUAGUGGAGAAAUCUACAUUGGCCGCAUGCCCCGUCCCAGCAGCUGAAAUGUGGCAACCAUCAUGUGGGAUAAAGAUGGUAUCUUUGGAAAUGUGAAAGGAUCUUCCACAAUAAAAUGGACAGUGAUAACAUCAUAAGCAGCAUCCUGAUCUCAUUAUCCACACUU